AAUUUUGGACAAUGGGGGAAACCCUGAUCAAGCCAUCCCGCGUGUCUGAUGAAGGCCUNUGGGAUNUNAAGUACUUUUGGCAGAGNAGAAAAGGUAUCUCCUAAUACGAGAUACUGCUGACGGUAUCUGCAGAAUAAGCACCGGCUAACUACGUGCCAGCAGCCGCGGUAAUACGUAGGGUGCAAGCGUUAAUCGGAAUUACUGGGCGUAAAGCGUGUGUAGGCGGUUCGGAAAGAAAGAUGUGAAAUCCCAGGGCUCAACCUUGGAACUGCAUUUUUAAAGGCCUAGCUAGAGUAUGUCAGAGGGGGGUAGAAUUCCACGUGUAGCAGUGAAAUGCGUAGAUAUGUGGAGGAAUACCGAUGGCGAAGGCAGCCCCCUGGGAUAAUACUGACGCUCAGACACGAAAGCGUGGGGAGCAAACA
rnacentral:rRNA from 1 species